rnacentral:rRNA from 1 species
AUUGAACGCUGGCGGCAGGCCUAACACAUGCAAGUCGAGCGGAUGAAGGGAGCUUGCUCCUGGAUUCAGCGGCGGACGGGUGAGUAAUGCCUAGGAAUCUGCCUGGUAGUGGGGGAUAACGUCCGGAAACGGGCGCUAAUACCGCAUACGUCCUGAGGGAGAAAGUGGGGGAUCUUCGGACCUCACGCUAUCAGAUGAGCCUAGGUCGGAUUAGCUAGUUGGUGGGGUAAAGGCCUACCAAGGCGACGAUCCGUAACUGGUCUGAGAGGAUGAUCAGUCACACUGGAACUGAGACACGGUCCAGACUCCUACGGGAGGCAGCAGUGAGGAAUAUUGGACAAUGGGCGAAAGCCUGAUCCAGCCAUGCCGCGUGUGUGAAGAAGGUCUUCGGAUUGUAAAGCACUUUAAGUUGGGAGGAAGGGCAGUAAGUUAAUACCUUGCUGUUUUGACGUUACCAACAGGAUAAGCACCGGCUAACUUCGUG